GAUGAACGCUGGCGGCGUGCCUAAUACAUGCAAGUCGAGCGAACAGACGAGGAGCUUGCUCCUCUGACGUUAGCGGCGGACGGGUGAGUAACACGUGUAUAACCUACCUAUCAGUCUGGGAUAACUUCGGGACACCGGAGCUAAUACCGGAUAAUAUCUUGAACCGCAUGGUUCAAUAGUGAAAGACGGUUUUGCUGUCACUUCUAGAUGGAUCCGCGCCGCAUUAGCUAGUUGGUCAGGUAACGGCUUACCAAGGGAACGAUGCGUAGCCGAGCGGAGAGGGUGAUCGGCCACACUGGAACUGAGACACGGACCAGAGUCCUAAGGGAGGCAGCAGUAGGGAAUCGUCCGCAAUGGGCGAAAGUAUGACGGAGCGACGGCGCGUGAGUGAUGAAGGUCUUCGGAGCGUAAAACUCUGUUACUAGGUAAGAACAAAUGUGUAAGUAACUAUGCACGUCUUGACGGUACCGGGUCAGAAAGCAACGGCUAACUACGUG
rnacentral:rRNA from 1 species